rnacentral:lncRNA from 1 species
UCGGAAGCUUCCUUGAUAUCCUAGUUCCAGGAAUGGUCUCCCUUUUAGGAGGACUGCAUAGUAUGCACACUUUGGAGAUAAAGUCUGAUCCAGACUUCCGUGCCCCCGAAACUUGUUGGUAUUCAAAGUUUACUAACUCAAUACCAAAAUAUGUGGGUGAUAAGUUUACAAACUUUAUCACACCUCUCACUUGCACUAUCAAUAAAAUUGGACAAAGAAAGAAAUAAGUAAAUGAAGAAGCAAGCUUCUGUGUUGCACAAAACUGCACGACAAACAAGCA